GAACGGUGGUUAUAUUUGUCCGUGGACCCAAGACAUCGUUGACGGGCAAAUAUGAACACUGCAACAAGGACUGGUGUGGAUAGCGUGCUGCGCUGGUCUCGUCAACUGAAAAGAAUUCUGUGACAUUACGAGCCAACAAGGAAAACCUCAAUCCAUC